UUUGCAUAGGAUAGUGAGAUUGGCAUUAAACUGUUUUUAUCCUACUAUAUUAUUUGGAAAGUACAUUUUAAAUGUAACCUUAUCUUUUGUAA
rnacentral:sRNA from 1 species